CACCACUGGAUGGGGUAUUAGCCUGCAAACCAUCACUAUUCUCUGGGCGUGUUUCUUUUCCAUCGAUGAUAACAUGGGUGCCUGCAAAGUGAGCCUUUUUCCCAUUUUUCUUUGCCGCUUCAAUCAUUGGCCACAGCUUGUUGCGUAUUGCCUUGUCUUCAGCUGUUAGAUCUUCAGUAAAUCUCAGCUUGUGGUUUUUGAGGUAUUCGCUCUUUUUUGCCACUCUCCACAGAAGAUCUCUUGUGGAUCUGUUUGUGAAGCGGAUGAUGGUGGUUCUUGGUUGGUUUUGGGAACUCUGGUAUUUCCCUAGGCGAUGUGUAAUGUCAAUAUUAUCUGUAAUUUUCUGUUGAGAACCAGGCAACAUAGAACAGCAAAUGUUGAUAACUUUGGCCUUGAUGUCUUCUGGGUUGUCUUCAGGGAUGCCGUGAAGUCUGAGGUUCCAUCUGCGAGUAUAACGUUCUGCUUCAUUGACCUUUUGCUGCAAGUCUGCAAUCUGUUGUUCAUAUUUUACGCUAGCAGCCUGGACUUCCUUCAUGUCAGAUUUAAGAGAUUCAACUUCAGCAAAAGCAAAAUCAACUUAUUUUUUUUUAAGGGCAUCAAUGCUCACCGCAUUCUUAGUAAUCAUGCCUUCCAAGUUGUCGGCGCGCACAUUGAUUGCAGUGAGGAUGCUAGCUUGUAGAUCAGCUAAAGACAUCUCUGCCUUUUGUUUUUUCUCUCUUGGUUUGACUGGAGUAUCUGUGGCAGAUGGUGGCAGAGGAACUAGAUCAUCAUCACCAUCGAGCUGGGUUUGCAGACAUGUGCAGUCAUAGUCAUGGUCCAUAUUGACCGAAGAAGGAUGGAAAGAAGUCUUGGACGUAGCAUUAGCGGAGGAACUCCGAGCCUUGUUCACGUCAAGGGGCACGCCAAAAAUCAUUCCUUCUUGCGCAAAAAUUGUUGUGAAAAUGUGUGCAAGAAGGACUGGAGAGCACGAGGAAGAAGUUCAUGGACUAAAAAAGGAGGAGGAGCCACAACGUCAACUACUGGACCCUGUGUUCAAUCUGCAGCCUCGAAUUGUCCUACGCAGAGCAGAUGUCAGUGAAAAUCUUCAUCCAGAGCGGCAGCAGUCAGUGUCCCUUCACAUCAAAGAGGAAAAGGAGGGUGAAGAGAUUCAAAGCAUUAAGGAUGAAGAGAAAGAAAUCCUACACUUGAAAGAGGAAGAGAAGGAAGAAAUCAUCCAGGUUCCAUCCACUGGUGUUCAUUUCAAGAGUGAAGAUGAAGGUCAAAGUGAAGAGAGAGGAGGGGCGGAGCCUCCAACUAGGAACAGCUCAAGUGAUGGAGACCAUUGUGAAGGAUCACAAACAGAUGAUGAUGAUGAUGAUGUUGAUGAUCAACAAUCGGAAAGUGAUAUGACAUGUCACACUUCCAACAAAUGCUGGAAAUGUUCUCAGUGUAGGAAAGCUUUUGCUUCUGUGAGAAAUUUCAAACAACACAUGAAAGUACACACAAGUGAGAAAUCUUUUGCAUGCUCAGUUUGUGGUCAAACAUUCACUCAGAAAGAACAUUUAAAAACACACAUAAAAACAUACACUGAUGGGAAACCUUUCUCCUGCAUAGUCUGUGGUCACAGAUUUACCCGGAAGGGAGAUUUAAAAAGACACACAAGAACACACUCUGGUGAGAAGCCUUUUGCAUGCUCAGUUUGUGGUCAAAGUUUCACUCGAAAGGAACACUUAAAAAUACACACAAGAACCCACACUGGUGAGAAACCUUUUUGUUGCACAGUUUGUGGUCAAAGAUUCUCUGUGAUUGAAAGUUUAAAAAGACACACAAGAACACACCGGUGAGGAACUAUUUUCAUGUCCUUAAAAGUACACACCAGAACACACACUGGUCAGAAGGCAUUUUUCUGCACAGUUGUGUUCAAAGAUUUUCACGGAAGAUUGACUUAAAAAUACACACCAGAACACACACUGGUUAGAAAACUUUUUCAUGUCCUGUUUGUGAUAAAAGAAUUACUGAGAAUGGUAAUGCGCAGUUGUCAAAGAUUCUCUUCUAAGGCGUUGGCCUCACAGUUCUGAGGACCCGGGUUCAAUCCUGGCCCUGCCUGUGUGGAGUUUGCAUGUUCUCCCCGUGCCUGCGUGUGUGUUCUCCGGGCACUCCAGUUUCCUCCCACAUCCCCAAAAGAUGCAACAUUAAUUGGACACUUAAAUUGCCCCUAGGUGUGAUUGUGAGUGCGGGUGUUUGUCUCGAUGUGCCCUGCGAUUGGCUGGCAACCAGGUCAGGGUGAACCCCGCCUCCUGCCCGUUGACAGCUGGGAUAGGCUCCAGCUUGCCCUGCGAUCCUUGUGAAGAUAAGAGGCAAAGAAAAUGGAUGAAUGGUUGGAUUCUCUUCUAAGUAUCAGGCUCAGACACACGCGUGUUUUAAGAGGCCUUAAAAGUAAAUGUGUAAAAUGAAAGAAAUUACUAUUGAUAAUAUUCUUGUAUUUUGUGUACAAGCAUUUAUUGCAACUUCGACCCAUAACAAAUGAUCUGAUUUGACCUUAUCUGAUCCGUAAAAGCUAAAAUAUUGGGCUAAUAAUUCAAAAUAUAUGUAUCCAUCCAUCCCUCCAUUUUCUAGGCCGCUUAGUCUCACAAGGGUUACGAGAGGUCUGGAGCCUAUCACAGAUAUGUUCGAGCAGGUGGCAGGGUACACCCGCAACUGGUUGCCAGCGAAUCGCAGGGCACAUGGAGACAGGCAGCAAUCACACUCAGAAUCUUACCUUGGGGCAAUUUGGAGUCUCAAAUCAAUGCAUGUUUUUGGUAUGUAGGAGGAAACCCACGCAACCACAGGGAGAACAUGCAAAUUCCACACAGGCGGGGCUGGGAUUUUAAUCCCGGUCCUAAGAACAAACAGUAUUAAAUUGCCUUGAGUCGAAAUGUCUGCAUAUAUUUUUGGGGACAUGAAGCCACAUUUCUUUGGUGAGGUUUCUAAUGAAAGUGAUACUUGUUGCCCUGUUGUCAUUUUUAUGACAUCCUUAAUAUUUCCCAAUCCAUAAUUUCUUUUGUUCCACCCGAUUUCUAUCAUGUAUAAAAUGAAUGUGAAUAUAUAAAAAAGUACUGAUUACGAUUUACUUCAUUUUACAGCACAUUCCUUUUCCCUCUACAGCUGUGCUACUGAUUUUAAUGUUGGAUUUUGUUGAUGAAAAACGAGUGUACAAAAGGGAAUUCUUUAUUUACCAAUUGCUCCAAAAUGUAUUAUUUUCUUGUGCAUCCAUGCAUUUUGUCCCAUGUCUUAGUGGUGUCAAUAUCAAAUAUGUGAAUAAUUAAUUGAAAUAGACUGGAAAGAAACUUUGACUUUUGGUGAUAAAGUGUAUGUGAUCCUUCAUAAAAUACACUUCAACCGGUGA